AACCUUUUAGUAACGGAGCUAACGCGUGAAGUUGACCGCCUGGGGAGUACGGCCGCAAGGUUAAAACUCAAAGGAAUUGACGGGGACCCGCACAAGCGGUGGAUGAUGUGGAUUAAUUCGAUGCAACGCGAAAAACCUUACCUACCCUUGACAUGUCAGGAACUUUCCAGAGAUGGAUUGGUGCCCGAAAGGGGACCUGAACACAGGUGCUGCAUGGCUGUCGUCAGCUCGUGUCGUGAGAUGUUGGGUUAAGUCCCGCAACGAGCGCAACCCUUGUCGUUAAUUGCCAUCAUUUAGUUGGGCACUUUAACGAGACUGCCGGUGACAAACCGGAGGAAGGUGGGGAUGACGUCAAGUCCUCAUGGCCCUUAUGGGUAGGGCUUCACACGUCAUACAAUGGUCGGUACAGAGGGUUGCCAAGCCGCGAGGUGGAGCCAAUCCCAGAAAGCCGAUCGUAGUCCGGAUUGGAGGCUGCAACUCGCCUCCAUGAAGUCGGAAUCGCUAGUAAUCGCGGAUCAGCAUGUCGCGGUGAAUACGUUCCCGGGUCUUGUACACACCGCCCGUCACACCAUGGGAGUGGGUUCUGCCAGAAGUAGGUAGCCUAACCGCAAGGAGGGCGCUUACCACGGCAGGGUUCAUGACUGGGGUG
rnacentral:rRNA from 1 species